rnacentral:rRNA from 1 species
GUCUACGGCCAUGCCACCCCGAACAAGCCCGAUGUCUGAUCUCAGAAGCUAAGCAGGGUUGGGCCUGGUUAGUACUUGGAUGGAGACCACCUAGGAAGACCAGGUGCUAUAAGCA